AGACGGUAGUUGGGCUCUAACGGGCUGCAGCGAGGCCAUUUAUUACGCGACCGACCCACCAGCCCCGUCCCCAUCUGCUCAUUUGUUCCCCCAAAAUCGAGAGGAAGAACCAUAGACAGAGCUCAUGGCGAACGCCAACCAAGCUGCAGAUCCGGUCGCACUGCCUUUAGUUCCUUGCCCGGAUUGUGGAAGGCGGGUGGUGACGUUCGUUGCUAGGCGCGGUCAGUUCCAGGGUGACAGGUUUUACAAGUGCCGCAAUCACAAUCCGGGUAGAGGUGGCUGAGCUUGGACCGGCGACACCUCCGUUGGCGCAAAUCAAUCCAGGAGAGAACGAGGUAGCUGCAGCAAAUCAAGGUGGUCAGAUGCAGCCGGCGGACGGCACGGUGGGGCAGCAGAACGGGGCACCGGAUGGAUCGCAGAUGCCGUCCGCGGCUAGUGGCGUUGUUGGAUCUCAGCUCCGCGCGGGGGAUGUUGGUCGGCGUCAGGAAUCCUUCACUCUCGAUGCUGCAUCUAUCAAUCUGGUGGUGUCUGUUGGGAAUAUGGCCAUCUGCCUCGCCAUCCUUGUACUGGUAGUGUCUUCCACCGUGAUGCGUGCGUUUGAUUAAUUGGAUGAAUCUAAGAAGCGUAUGCGUAUGUAGUAGAUGAUCUAUGUCAGGGGUUAAUUAGUGUUAGCAUCGUACGUGGGAGAAGGACUCUGAGACUCAUGGAGCUUUUGGAUGUAUGUUUGGUUCAGUGGAUGCCUAGUGCUAAUGAAAUUUUGGUUUCAAGCUAAUCAUGAACAGUCAAUGACGUAGUUGCUAUUUCUUGAUUUUUAAAA